UUUGAAACCUUUGUACAUGGUUAUCGAAGUGGAAAUCUGUCAUUCUUGAUGGCUGUACUUAUAAUUUUCCAAAUUUUUGGAUAUUUAUGCCACUCAAAAUCUGACACGAACAUGCAUCUACUUCUAGGAUCCAUUUUCGUUCGCUCAACUGGGUUUUCCGGAACUAAUCUAAAAAAGGCAACUUCGAUCAUUUUCCACUUGAGUUAGAUUUUUAAAACAACAAAAUAAAGCAAAACAUUUACGACAAAUACUAAUAAGAAACUGCCAUUGCAACGAAUAUAAUGACAACUAGAAAAAAUAAAGUAAGAUAAUGACAAUGAUCUGAAAUGUUUCAUCUCCUACUUUCACUAGAUAUCAUUUCUGUCUUGUCUGUGAGUAACCAAUCUCGAGCUAAAGUCUUCCGGUUUUUUGGUUAGCGGGCUGUCGCAGGUAAGCCCUCGGGUCUGUCUUACCAGACGCUGACGAAAAAAAGGAAGGCGCUAGCUGGAAGAGUCUGGGUACGAGAUUGAUAUGCCGAGAGUGGCGUGUACUACAUCGUUACCAAGCCAACCAUCACCAAGUCAUCAUCAUGAUUGACUGAAACUCCGAUUCCAUAUUAAUAUUGAGGUGCUCUUUUCAUUUUUUGUUGUUCACUUUGACACAACUGGUCAUUUUAAGGGCAAUGGCAGAAACGCAGGUGUUAUUGAGUAUCAUGUGAAUAACACCACCGGUCUGGUCCAGUUAACAACGUGUGCUGGGAAGAGUGAUCCUGGGGGGCAGCUAGCCUGGAACUGCAGGAAAAGGUGGUGCAGCAGGAAAAGGGACACGAAGUGUAGCGUGCUACAAAAUUUGUAGUUUAUUCGGUGGUUGCUCUUGCAGCUUUAUUAAAUAUACAUUCAAUAGUGAAAAUGGAAAGAAGGGCAACGAUGGUAAAGCAGGAACAUCUGGUCAAGCAGGACGUGCCUGAAGUCCCCCUACUGAUGUCAUCAAGAACCAGGACUUUACGAAGUUUCCUAUUGGAUCCCUAGAACUAAUCAUGGACGUAGCAGGAGAUAUGUUAGGAAGGGGGAAUGCUGAGGAAGCCAAAAAUAUCGUUGGAUUUCUAAGACUCGCAUCUAAAGUCAACGAUCCAAAAAAGCAACAGCUUAUGAAAGAUUCCAAUGCUUGCCUCAACUCUUUGACCGACAAAAGUUGGAACACUGCUUGUUCGCAUCAACAACGACGUAGGAGGAGGGAGCCUGUCUAAAAGUGAAUGCAAGAGUCCUUAUUCUACAUACUUACUCGAAGUUCCUAAAAACACAAACAUCAAAUGUGAUGGUAGCGACGUCCACGCAAGCACGAACUGUGGUGAYUUUAAGUGGAUCGCAUCAACAAAAUUAAUUUCUGGGCAGUCGUUCAGUACUGGCCGGAUCAAUACCCUUCAGGACCGACCAGUCCUUUGUGUAAGGGUAUGAGAAAGAGAGGCCUGUUCAUGAAAAAAGCAACCACAUUUUAAAAGUAUUUUUAGUGGGAUUUUUGUGUGAACUAUGAUUCAAGCUGAUGUACGAUGAACUCAUAGUAAAGUACUAACUAGUGCGAUUAAACAAUAGAAAACCGACAGGGAGUAUAGCUCCAAACUUUCUUUGCUCAGCUUUAUUAUCGAAUGUGCGUUAUGAUUUAUCAGCAAUUCAAUCAAAACCUGUGGCAUUUUAAUCAACUUGCAUUGUUCCGCAGUACGUACAUUCCUUACUAUACAAUGGACCUUAAGGUAUGAGAACUGGGUAAAGUGGCUGUCAUUUCUACAAAAUUUAUUUACACUGUAUCCAAUACACCUGAAAUAGUACUUCACAAUAAAUAUAUACAUAAAAUUUCCUUUCCAAAUUGCAUGUCAAAAGUGUGAAAUUUCACACCUAAGGUGCCAAAAAAACGCAGGCAACCCAAGGCUCUUUUUCAGUAAUUUAUUAAUAUCUCUCUCUAGAAAAUGUUAUAAAGAAAAUAAAACUUGAGCUAUGAAAAUAAACUGUAUAAAGAAAAAAAAUUAGGCAGCCCGGAGCAAAAUAUUUUUUUGGCGAGUUAAAACUACCGUGACACGGUUUUCAGUCGUAACAUUUUAUCAAAAUAUGUAUUUGCUCCGGGCUGCCUAAUUUUUAAUCUUUAAAGUCUAUUUAAGCUUUGUUCCAAAUUUAAGGAUAGUAUGAUAAAUACAAAAGAGUUUAUCGAAGAACGCGUGAGGGAGAGUGGUGCUUUAAUGUGCUAAAGUCGCUAUAAUUCUUCAAUUUUGGAUUCAAACGAAAGAAUUCGCCGCCAUAUUGUUUCUGACAUCGAACUACGUCAUGACUCACGAUAUCAAGCCGAUUGAGCCACAAAAACUAUCGGAAAACUUCGGUUUUAUAUCGCCCACGCGUCGCUUCAUCCGAAUCCCGUAACGCGUCCCAAACAAAUGACAUCAUCCAUAGCAACGGCCUGAACGCAUGCGUAUUUCAACAGUGAAACACGAAACCACACCAUAAAUUUGACGACAAACAGCAAUCUACUUAUCAAUAGACUUUCUUCGAGUGUUUUAAUGAUAUAUAGUAGUAUUUUAUACAGUAGUUAUAGAAAGUAUAUGUUAUUUAGCUUAUCAAUGAAUGUAACAGAAAUAUGAAUUAGAGAAAAGUAUAUAUUCAGACGCAAUAAGUUUUGCAGCGUUGCUUAGAAUAAAGUUCGAAGGUCAAGGUAUUGGAAACCCUUCUCGUCUGUCCUUCUCAAACCAAGAGCUUCAAGAACGUGGUUGGGAAGUCGAAAG